rnacentral:rRNA from 1 species
AGCAACCGCGGUAAUUCCAGCUCCAAUAGCGUAUAUUAAAGUUGUUGCAGUUAAAAAGCUCGUAGUUGAAUUUCGGGAUCAAUAUAUUGGUCAUGCUUAGGUAUGUACUGGUAUUAUUGAUUUCUCCCUUCUGAAGAACCAUAAUGUCAUUAAUUUGAUGUCAUGGGGAAUCAGGACUGUUACUUUGAAAAAAUUAGAGUGUUUAAAGCAGGCUUUCGCUUGAAUACAUUAGCAUGGAAUAAUGAAAUAGGACGUUUGAUUCUAUUUUGUUGGUUUCUAGGAUCGACGUAAUGAUUAAUAGGGAUAGUUGGGGGCAUUAGUAUUCAAUUGUCAGAGGUGAAAUUCUUGGAUUUAUUGAAGACUAACUACUGCGAAAGCAUUUGCCAAGGAUGUUUUCAUUAAUCAAGAACGAAAGUUAGGGGAUCGAAGACGAUCAGAUACCGUCGUAGU